GUCCCCGCACAAGCAGCGGAGCGUGUGGUUUAAUUCGUUGCUACACGAAGAACCUUACCUGGGUUUGACAUAAAGGUGGUAGGGAGCCGAAAGGUGACCGACCCUUCGGGGAGCCUUUACAGGUGUUGCAUGGCUGUCGUCAGCUCGUGUCGUGAGAUGUUCGGUUAAGUCCGCUAACGAGCGCAACCCUCGCUGUGUGUUACAAGUGUCACACAGGACUGCCGGUAUUAAGCCGGAGGAAGGUGAGGAUGAUGUCAAGUCAGCAUGACCUUUAUAUCCAGGGCUACACACACGCUACAAUGGUCUGUACAAUAGGUUGCCAAGCCGCGAGGCGGAGCCAAUCCUAAAAAGCAGGCCUCAGUUCAGAUUGCAGUCUGCAACUCGACUGCAUGAAGUUGGAGUUGCUAGUAACCGCAGGUCAGCUAUACUGCGGUGAAUACGUUCCCGGGGAUU
rnacentral:rRNA from 1 species